UGAUGACUAUUCUAUAGCAGCGUUGGUC
rnacentral:piRNA from 1 species